UAUAUACUCCCUCCGUCUGAAAAUACUUGUCAUCAAAAUGGAUAAAAAGUGAUGUAUACAUCCUCUUUUAUCCAUUUUGAUGACAAGUAUUUCCGGACGGAGGGAGUAUUGU
rfam:Triticum aestivum genome assembly, contig: Triticum_aestivum_CS42_TGACv1_scaffold_406705_5BL